GUUAGGAAUAUUGGACAAUGGGCGCAAGCCUGAUCCAGCCAUGCCGCGUGAGUGAUGAAGGCCUUCGGGUUGUAAAGCUCUUUAGUCCACGAAUAUAAUGACUGUAGUGGAAGAAUAAGCCCCGGCUAACUUCGUGCCAGCAGCCGCGGUAAUACGCAGGGGGCGAGCGUUAUUCGGAAUCACUGGGCGUAAAGCGUGCGUAGGCUGUUUUGUAAGUCAGACGUGAAAGCCCAGGGCUUAACCCUGGAAUUGCUUUUGAAACUACAAGACUCGAAUUCGGGAGAGGAUAGCGGAAUUGUCAGUGUAGCAGUGAAAUGCGUAGAUAUUGACAGGAACACCAGUGGCGCAAGCGGCUAUCUGGACCGAUAUUGACGCUGAGGCACGAAAGCGUGGGGAGCAAACAGGAUUAGAUACCCCAGUAGUCC
rnacentral:rRNA from 1 species